rnacentral:lncRNA from 1 species
CACCCAUUUCCAUCUCCAGAACCACCCAAAAAUAUUCUAAUCCUAAUCCGGGAGAGAAUAGCCAAAAACAUACUCUUAUUUCUGUUUUCCCCUGCGAAAUAAAUGCUCAAGUUAUUUCGGUUACUACCACUUGCUACAUUAUUGCAAGAGAUGAGUACUCUAAAAAAAGAUACGAGGAAAUAAAAAGGGGCAAGUGACCGGAACCUCGAAGAAAAGAAAAAGUGAGAUGAGAGGUAAAAAUGGACAAGUGUCCGACAGUAGAAUUAGGGGUACAAGAUACACACCUGAGAGAAAAGAAAAAGAAAAUAUAGAGCAUCUCAUUCUCCUCAAAAAGUUUCAAAAGAGCAAGAAAGGUAUGUAUCCCUCAAAAGAGGACAAGUAGAAUUAGACUUUCACCAUUGUUAUCACCAUCAUCACCAUACACCAUCAAUUUGCCAC